rnacentral:lncRNA from 1 species
UAUUUCUGUCCAGAUUUGAAAGACAUGUUUAAUAUUCAUUUUGGCUAAAAUGAAAAUGUUUGAAAAUCAUUUUGUUUCAAAACAAAGAUGCAUGGUUUGAUGAAAUUGAUUUUACGAGAGAAGCCAAGACUUGAAUCUAUUGUUGGAUCAAGAUCACAAUAUAAAACGACUCAUGUAUAUCUUCGUUGUUUUACUUGAUCU